CGAUGAGAGGAGACUGUCGCGGGUCGGGAAAGCCGGCGCGAGGAAAGUCGGGACAGCGCAGAGCACCAUACUUCCUAACGGGAAGGGAUCCGCAAGGGUCACAGCAAGUGCCACAGAAAACUACCGCCCCGAAAGGGGUAAGGGUGAAAACGUGAGGUAAGAGCUCACGCGUCGGGUGGCGACAUGCCGACGGGGUAAACCUUAUGGGCUGCAAAACCAAGUAAGAAGAUGCUGGUCCGCAAGGGCCGAGAGGGCUGCUCGUCCGAGUCUUUUGGGUAGGUCGCUUGAGCCUGCAGGUGACUGCAGGCCUAGAGAAAUGACAGUCGCCCCGCAAGGGGAACAGAAUCCCGCUUACCACUCUCAUCGCUUU
rnacentral:RNase_P_RNA from 1 species